AUGAAGAAAGUGAAAAGGAAAACCACACAGCAGCAGCAGCAGCAGCAGCAGCAGCCUUAUCUGUCCACCGCAGGGGCUGAUGGGAGGUUUGAGGAGCUGUUAGAAACCACGUGGCCCUCGUCUGAUCUCACAGCUCGUCCUUGUUUGGCCUCAGCUGCAUCAGAGCGCCACUUCUCCCCAGGUUCACCAGAGGAAACACCACUGCACAAAAUGCUUUUCCUCCCAGCUGCUGCUCUGUGCUGUCUGUGUUCAGCGCUGGUUGCCAUGGCAGCAGACCUGAUUCAGGAUGAUUUAACAUUGACCAGUAGAGCUGGUCAAAACGUCUCACUCAGCUGUAGAGGAACUAACGAGUGUAACAAUAAUCUUUAUGUAUUCUGGUACCAGAAGAAAGACACAGAAACAUUCACAAGGAUUCUUCGUAUUGAUAUGUCGAAGGGUGAAGAAUAUAAAGGUUACAAUCAUCCUCAGAAAAAUGAUUUCACAGGUGGAAAAAAUGAAAACAUCUAUGAGUUGAAGAUCCAGAGAGUUAAUAUCUCACAUUCAGCCACCUACUACUGCGUCUGUUAUAAAAGUGGUUCCCACAGUGAGAAAUGAUCCAUGCAGCCUGUACAAAAACCUCCAGAUGAACAGAUGUCAAACAGUGUUUGUGACAGGAAGAGAGCAGUAAACCACAGCCCAGGUUCACAUAUUUCACCUCCAUCUCAGCCAGAGUCACUAACAAACUGAGCUGAGGACUAAAUGUUUGUCUGUUGGUGUCAGGAUUUUGAUUUAAACAUUAUAUUUCAUUGAUAUUAUUUAUCAGCUAUUUCAGCAGGUUUCCUGUUGUUCCACACAGUGAGAACAAAGGAGCAACACAGAAGCACAAUGAUACAACAAGAUGAAGACAAACAAACAAACAACAAUAUAACACAGAU